GUACCGACGACUUUUCGUCACGUAGACGUAGACCUCGCGGUACCGCUGCAAGAUCGGCAACCAAGGCUAAUUUGCUUGUAACUACAAGUUGACAGGUUGUCAAACUCUUCUGUGAACCAUGCCUUGCUUUGAGCUUUCAACAAACGUUCCAAGGGAAAAAGUUACCUCUGACUUCAUUUUGUCCCUCAGCAAAGAAAUUGCUGCAUGCCUUGGAAAACCUGAGCAGUAUGUGGCAGUUCGCAUACUCCCAGAUCAGUUAAUGUCCUUUGGAGGCACACUUGAGCCUUGUGGAACAGGCCAGCUUUUAAGUAUUGGGAAGCUUGGUGUAGAAGAAAACAAGGUAAUCAGUGCCAAGAUUUUUGCUGAGGUGGAGAAGACCUUGGGUAUUCCUAAUGACAGUUAUUGGAUGCAAUGGAAUAAGCUUCCUUGAGAAUUUGGCUGUUAGUCAUGUAUUAAUUGGCCUUGAGUAUCUUCAAAUGGAAGAAACAGCACUUUUUUUGCAGAUGUACAUCACAUUUGUGGAUGCAGCUUCUUCCAAUAUUGGCUACAAAGGAACAACAUUCCAUCAGAUCUUUAAGCGCUGAUAUGUUUAAUGGUUAGCCUUGAAAUUCACAAAAGUAUUAAAAUUCUUGUUUACAAGUUUAGUUUCCAUUGAGUUUUGAUUGUUUUUACCAUGAUGUUUACAUAUUAGAAUGGAAAAAAUCCAGUUUAUGUUCCUGAAAGGUAUUGUUACAGAUAUAUGAAGUAAAUCAAAUUUAA